AUUGAACGCUGGCGGCAUGCCUUACACAUGCAAGUCGAACGGUAACAGGUCUUCGGAUGCUGACGAGUGGCGAACGGGUGAGUAAUACAUCGGAACGUGCCUAGUAGUGGGGGAUAACUACUCGAAAGAGUGGCUAAUACCGCAUGAGAUCCACGGAUGAAAGCAGGGGAUCGCAAGACCUUGUGCUACUAGAGCGGCCGAUGGCAGAUUAGGUAGUUGGUGGGAUAAAAGCUUACCAAGCCGACGAUCUGUAGCUGGUCUGAGAGGACGAUCAGCCACACUGGGACUGAGACACGGCCCAGACUCCUACGGGAGGCAGCAGUGGGGAAUUUUGGACAAUGGGCGCAAGCCUGAUCCAGCAAUGCCGCGUGAAGGAUGAAGGCCUUCGGGUUGUAAACUGCUUUUGUACGGAACGAAAAGCCCUGGGUUAAUACCCUGGGGUCAUGACGGUACCGUAAGAAUAAGCACCGGCUAACUACGUGCCAGCCGCCGCAGUAAAAC
rnacentral:rRNA from 1 species